rnacentral:piRNA from 1 species
UCUUCUCAAUAAAUGAAUAGUUCAUUUCUU